UUUUUUGGGUUUUUUUUUUGGGGGGGGGUUUGUUUUCCUUUUUUUGUUUUGUUUUGUUUUGUUUUGGNGGUCGUGGGCUUCCUUCUUCCUCUUCUUCUUCUUCUGUUGUUGUUUUUAGGGUUUUUUUUGGGGGGGGUUGUUUUCCUUUUUUUUUUUUGUUUUGUUUUUUUUUGGAUGAGAUUUCAGUUCACCCCCCCACACAUACACACACACUCAUAGUGUUGCGUUGUCCUUUCCCUCCGUUGUGGUUGGUCAGUCAUGCUGAAAUCCAUCUUUCUAUGACCUGACCACCAGAGUAUUUGCCCCAGGCAGCCAUUUGUUCUCUUUUGACUUUGUCUCAGUCUAUGCAGAGAGAGAUUGUCAUUUCCACUUUCCUAGGAUCGACUGUAUCCUUCUCUCCCAUCCUAAGCUUCUGGGCUUUGCUUGUCUGCUUUUGACAGACCGUCUCCGUCGGUAAGGGGGGCAGGUAUACCGACUCCUGCGUUGUCGUUCUCCGAGGGCUUGCCGGGUUUCGUUUUUGCCAGUCCCCGCCUGCCCUCCCGCCCUCCCUCUCUCCCUCCCUCCUCCAGCUCCGUGCAGGGAGGUGGGGUGGGGGUGGGGGAGAGAAGAGAAGGUGGAGGGGAACCUGAGAUCUCUCUCGCUAGUGCCACCCUCACCGCGCCGGCUUCUCUCUGGAAUUCCCAAGCCCAGGAAGGGACAUGCUUGGGGGAGCGAGCGCGGCUCCUUCUAGGCAACAGCGAGAACCUCUUCCCACCUCCUUCCCCGCCGCCGCCGCCCCCCUCUUUCCAGCUGCUGCCAUCACGCCACGCAGUGCCUCGCCAGGAGGCAGCUCCGCGAGGCAAGCUUCGCGGGCGUGCAGGACGCCUGGCGCCUCGGCCCCGGGAAGAGCUCGGGCAUUUGGGUGGCCGGCGCUGUGUCGUUGUGUCGCCGCCGGCCGGCCGGCCUUCCGGAUCUGUCCUGAUGGAUCCGGAGACGGUGGACGGUACCCCGCCGGCCCCCUGCUCCCGGGUGUGGCCGGGAAGGGUGCACCUGGGCCUGAGGCGUGCCCAUGUAGGGUCCCGGUCGUUGGACAAGACUUCGUUUCCCACGCUCUCAUUUCCCGCCCCCCGCCCUCGGAGUGUUUCCCUGUCGGUCGGUCGAUCGGUCGGGAGGUGGGGACCGGCCUGAGCUGGAUGGUGUGUCCUGGAUUUUGGGGGAGCCAAGUCCCCGUCUGGAGCUCCGGACAGACCGAUACCUGCCCGCGUGGGCAAGCCGGGAAGGGCUUCCCCGGCUGGCCGGCCGGCUCCACCUCCUUCAUGUCCCUGUCCCUUCCUUGCGGUCACGCUCCCCGGGUCGACCAGAUGGCUCUGAGAGCGCUGGGUCUGGCGACUCUAGGGCAGGGCUGGGGGACAAGUGUCCGGAUGGGGGUUCCGGGGAUACCCCCACGUCCUGUGGGUGGGCCCCGCUGCUGGGCAUGGACAUUUUUCGCGGCCGAAAUACGCCUUUUCUGUCACCAGGUAGAUGCUGACACGAUCCUCUUCAGCGCCUGUCGCUGGAGACCUUGGGCCUCUGGAUGCACGUGGGGGGCUUUGGGCUUUCGGCUGCUGUCCAAGGCCUGA
ensembl:lncRNA